rnacentral:rRNA from 1 species
AUGAGCCUAAGUCGGAUUAGCUAGAUGGUGGGGUAAAGGCCUACCAUGGCGACGAUCUGUAGCUGGUCUGAGAGGAUGAUCAGCCACACCGGGACUGAGACACGGCCCGGACUCCUACGGGAGGCAGCAGUGGGGAAUAUUGGACAAUGGGGGCAACCCUGAUCCAAACAGGCCGCGUGUGUGAAGAAGGCCUUUUGGUGUAAAUCAAAUGGAGCAGUGAAGAAGACUCCAUGGUUAAUACCCAGGACGAUGACA